rnacentral:rRNA from 1 species
GAUGAACGCUGGCGGCGUGCCUAAUACAUGCAAGUCGAGCGAACGGACGAGAAGCUUGCUUCUCUGAUGUUAGCGGCGGACGGGUGAGUAACACGUGGAUAACCUACCUAUAAGACUGGGAUAACUUCGGGAAACCGGAGCUAAUCCCGGAUAAUAUUUUGAACCGCAUGGUUCAAAAGUGAAAGACGGUCUUGCUGUCACUUAUAGAUGGAUACGCGCUGCAUUAGCUAGUUGGUAAGGUAACGGCUUACCAAGGCAACGAUGCAUAGCCGACCUGAGAGGGUGAUAGGCCACACUGGAACUGAGACACGGUCCAGACUCCUACGGGAGGCAGCAGUAGGGAAUCUUCCGCAAUGGUCGAAAGCAUUACGGAGCAACGCCGCGUGAGUGAUGAAGGUCUUCGGAUCGUAAAACUCUGUUAUUAGUGAAGAACAUAUGUGUAAGUAACUGUGCACAUCUUGACGGUACCUAAUCAGAAAGCCACGGCUAACUACGUG